rnacentral:tRNA from 1 species
GUUUCCGUGGUGUAGUGGUCUUCAAGUUUGCCUUACAUGCAAAAGGUCCCCAGUUCGAAACUGGGCGGAAACA